AAGGUGUUAAAAAACCACUCUUCAUCAACAGACCUCAGGAUAGUUUCCUCAGAAACUACGUUUGUCUGUUGUUUAGUGUUUUCGAGCAUCGUUACUUUCUCGCAGAAAAAAGCUUAGGAACUGGCUGACUCGGUUUGCCACCUGCGGUCUAGAAGCCCUGGCACUGGCUUCCACCCAACCUGGAAAAGGACCCAAAGCAGGAAUCAACAAACCCCGUGCUAUCAGGAGUCUGGGCGUGCGGCUGGUCAGGCAUUUGGAACCCGGAGUGAUUGCUCUUAACGGAAAUGGAAUGACGGGGCAUAAGUAAAUUCUCACCUACUUUCUCCUUCAUACACACUUAAGAAGGGGAAGCAGCGUGGUGUGGGGCAAGUCCCUGGAAUAUAUCUGCUUCCUCGGAUCUUACUUUAAAUGAAGAAGGUGUGGACUGGGGAGUCAAACCAACAGUAAGCUAUUCUGAGUCCCAGGAGGGCAAUUCGUGCUCUAGAAAUUGGUGCAGCUAAAGUGCUCGAUACAACUUGUUUCUUCUCUCACGGGUGUGGGUAAGAGGUACCAUCCUCGCUCGCUCACAUCAUACCUUUGGGAUUAGAGAGCAGUAAAGGUGGAUUUCCACGUUAGGUCCGGAACCCUGGAUGAAAAGGUAAAGGACUCGAGCCAGGAUAAGGUAGGUAGGUAGCUCCCCAUACUAGAACUUUAGCGCACGCUUUCUGAGUUAAGUCUGCUCAGUGACUACAUUUGCUGGAAAAAAAUCAAUCGUUGUAAGUAACCGGUCUAUGAGGAUCAGAGAAAAGAGCUGCCAAUGUGAUUCGACGGAGAAGGGAUAGUCUUUUAAACAAACAGCGCUGGAACAAUUUGCCUACGUAAAAGGAAGGAAACAAUGACUACACCACCACCACCACAUCAACAAGGAAAAAGAACUUAAUCCAUAGCUUGCACUACAUAGGAGGAUUAACUAGAAACGGGCUAAACGUAGAACAGAGUGGACCACAACAAUGUGCACGCACGUGCACACGCACAUGCACAUACCUGCACACACACGUGCUCACACGUGCAAACAGUAAUUUACAGUUUGGUCAUUGGCCAGCGCAAUGGAGAGAGAUUAGGUUUUGAGGAGAGGCAUGAGAUGUUAUUUUGCAUUCUAGGAAGUUAGCCUGGAUGUUAUAUGAUUAAUAGACUAACAGGUGGCAAGGGAAGUGGCAGAGAGACCGGGGGAGGUUAUUGUAGUUCUCCAGGUAAGGCCUGGUGGUGCCAGCGUCAGACAGAGUAGAAGGUGGUCAGAUUCCGCAUCUAUUUUGAAGCAGGGCUGAAAGGAUUUCUUGACUGACUGACUAUGCCACGCGGAAGAAAGAAAGGAUUCAAAGAUGGAUUCCAAGGUUUUCUUCCAGAGAAAAUGAAAGAAAUUGACAUCGACUUGGUGCAGAGGAUUGGGGGAAUUCGUAGAUUUUACAAUCAGUGGUGAUGUUUUUGACAUGUUGGAUUCUAAAUGCUUAUUAGAAAGCCAAGUGGAGGUAUUUCUUUUUUAACUUUAUUGAGGAAUAAUCGACAAAUAGAACUCUACAUGUGUUGCCUCGGUGAGUGCUCAAAAUUAGGAUAAAUAUUCGUCAGCCUUGUUCUGGGAUGCAGUUUCUGGGAAACAGCUUUAGUCCUUGGGUCUUGCUUUUCAGCCGUCUUGGUAGGACCAGUAAGAGCUAUUUCUGCUGAACUCGUGAGGCAAAGCCUUUUUGCGCAUCCUGCCGACACUGAGGGUUUCUCUAGGCUGUGAGUUGGAGACAGGCAUUAUGUUAUUCCCGUGUGAGCUGCGCAGGCUCUGUUUUCCUCUGUUCUUUUUAGAUGGCUCUUUUCUGAACCUUUGGUAGUGCAGUCCCCCCGCCACAUGCACACACGCGCGCACGCACACACACACACACACAUGCACACAGUGAUCAGUACUCAGUCAGAGACUCAAGGGGGGCCCUCUGCCGACCACGAGGGCUUCCGUCCUAUCCGGUGCUCCGUCUGGCGAGCGCUAGGGCUUUGGCCCCCCCUGGACCCCAGCUCUGAUUCCCCAGCUCAGAUUGCUGUGUUCUGGCUGGAGCCCUUCCCUUGCGCUGCAGCCCUGAAGCUCUCCCCAGAUGUUAACCUGGGGCAAGUGCAGGGCUUCCAGCACUUGUGUCCCCCUCUCAGGGGUCACCGUCCUUUGCUGUCUCAUAUCCAAUGACUUGAAAACCAUUGUUCCAUACAUUUUGUAUGUUGUUUUUUUCCCAUCAUUUCGGUCCCUAUCACUCUAUCUCAUUUGAAAAUGGAAGUCUGAAGACAUUCUUUUUUGUAGCAAAGUCCAUGCUUUGAAAUUCUUUUUUCACAAAUUUCAGUCCGUUUUAGUGAGAUGUCCAUGACUCACAAUGAUCUUUCAGGAUCAUUCGCUCUAAAUCUUGAUUUGAUGGAUGAGCAAACUGAAGCACAGAGAUUAAUUGCUUAAAGUUAUACAGGCAGCAAAUGACUGGGACUGAAUUCAAAUCCUGAUAUGUCUUUUGCCAAAACCUACAAUCUUUUCUUUACUCUGCUAUCUUCUUACACAUGAAAGGGAGAUAUUUAGGCCACAUUUGGUAUCCAAAACAGAGUAAGUGACUGUAGUCCUACAAAAACUCUGCUACUGUAAAACCCCAAGGCCAAAUAACAAGGAGGUUGUCAACUGAGAAUAGAGGUGACUUCUGUAAACUUCCUUCUUUCCCUCUUUCCUUCUCUCCUUCCUUCCUUCUCUCCCUCCAAUUCUUUGCCUUUUUUUAAUUUGCUUUUUUUUUGUAUGUUUUUACCACAUUCACUAGAUUCAUGAUCCGACACUUCUUUAACUGAAAUAUAGUUGACAGACAAUAUCAUGUUAGCUUGGGUCUACCGCAUAGUGAUUUGAUACUUGCAAACGUUAUGAAAUGAUCACCGUGAUAAUUCUGGUAAUCAUCUGUCUUCAUCCAAAGUUAUUACAAUAUUAUUGACCGUAUUCCUUAAUCAUCUGACAUUUUAUUGAGAUCAAAACUCCAUGAUCAGUAUGGCCAGCCAAGUCCAGAUUAAAAAAAAAGAAGAAGAAAUGAAAUUGGCCAUUGGCACACACUGGGAACAUGAUAGGUAAAGAAUUUCUUUUCAUAAGAACAAGCUCAUGGU